UACAGAGGGGGCAAGCGUUGUUCGGAAUUACUGGGCGUAAAGGGCGCGUAGGCGGCCUGCUAAGUCGAACGUGAAAUCCCCGGGCUCAACCCGGGAACUGCGUCCGAUACUGACAGGCUUGAACCCGGGAGAGGGAUGUGGAAUUCCAGGUGUAGCGGUGAAAUGCGUAGAUAUCUGGAGGAACACCGGUGGCGAAGGCGGCAUCCUGGACCAGUCCUGACGCUGAGGCGCGAAAGCUAGGGGAGCAAACAGG
rnacentral:rRNA from 1 species